UAGAAUGUGGUGUAAAAAUGGAAGCACGGAGAAGUUUGAUUUCUCAGGAGUAGGUUCGACUCCUAUAUUUCUAG
rnacentral:tRNA from 1 species